GUACUUUAGUACGCUUGUAAAUAAUAUAAUGAGCUGUCACUGGAAUAAUUUUAACAGCUGUCGGACGAGUGGCUAAGAAAUGACAGCAGUCUGAAAUUGGUUGCAUUUUUCAUCUCACCCGUAUGUUUUUGUGUUAAAGUGUUGACCUCUUGGUUGGGAGGAAAAUCAUUUUUGAAAUAUGGAGGUGUAGGUUCCGGAAGCAGUGGGACGAUAUUGUCACACAAAUACUACGAGGAAUACUCCUCUUAUGUUCUAUGAGAUAUUUGUUUUUUUUAUUGGGGGUUAUUUGUGUGUGGAACUCGAUCUAAGUUUAAUAGAAAUAUUACGACGUGCUAACUCUGGAGGAAAUCGGAUAUUCUCUGGCACAUCAACCAGGCGGACGAACAUAGUGUUUAACAUUUUUGUUCUUCUAGGAGACCACACCAAAUUAUAAAUAAAAAAAAAAUGAAAAUAUUAUGAAACAAUAAAACAAAUACCGUAUCCCAA